UACGAAGGGGGCUAGCGUUGCUCGGAAUCACUGGGCGUAAAGGGUGCGUAGGCGGGUCUUUAAGUCAGGGGUGAAAUCCUGGAGCUCAACUCCAGAACUGCCUUUGAUACUGAAGAUCUUGAGUUCGGGAGAGGUGAGUGGAAUUCCUAGUGUAGAGGUGAAAAUUCGUAGAUAUUAGGAAGAACACCAGUGGCGAAGGCGGCUCACUGGACCGGUAUUGACGCUGAGGUGCGAGAGCG
rnacentral:rRNA from 1 species